rnacentral:ncRNA from 1 species
CACGUUGAGUUUAAGCAUAUAAUUAAGUGGAGGAAAAUAAACUUACAAGGAUUCCCCUAGUAAUGGUGAGCAAACCAGGAAGAUCCCAACAUGAAAAUCAGGUGGCAGCGCUGCCUGAGUUGUAGUUUGUAUAAGCUUCCUUAGCAGUGGACUGGGCCCAAGUCCCCUAGAAGGGGGUGCCUAAGAGGGUGACAGCCCCAUCAGGCUGGGACCCUGCCACACCACGAGGUGUUGUCGACGAGUUGGGUUGUUUGGGAGUGCAACCCUAAUCGGGUGGUAAAUUCCAUCCAAGGAUAAAUAUAGGCGAGAGACCGAUAACGAACAAGUACCAUGAGGGAAAGAUGAAAAGGACUUUGAAAAUGGAGUUAAAGAGUGCUUGAAAUUGUCGGGAGGGAAGCAUAUGGAGGCCGAUGAUGUGUCUCGGUCGGAUUCAGAACAAAUCAAGCUGGUUCGCCGCUCAACUCGAGAUGAAAACCAACACAGGCCGUUGCAUCGACAUAAGCCCAGGUGGAUUACCGCCAGUUGGUUUGUCGUUGUGGAAGUCGAGGAGAUGAGAAAUCAAGGGAUUCUACCAACACUCAUUUAAAUUUAUUUUUAAUCCCUUGCCAAUACUUAUUUUAGUUUGUUGAUAUUGAGCUCACACAUGAGGUAGUUUAUAUCUAUGAGGAUUUAGGAUCAAUUUUUCAAGCCUGAAUUUUAUGUGUAAAUAUUUAUGAAGGUAUUGGAUCCAUUAAUGACUUAUUAGUACUAUUGACGAGUUGAAUAAGUUUUGAAAUCACCAAGCAACCAUGCAGGAAAAUCAAUCUUGCAUAGAAUAAAAGUUUAAUUUUUUUUUAUGAGUUUAAAAGUUAGUAAUUGAACCUUCAUCAUUGAAGUAAGAAAAUAAAGGUGUCAAUUUUUUUGUAUAUUUGGAUAAUUUAGCCAAGAAAAGGAAACUUUCUGGGUUGGGAGGCCAAUGAGUCUCCAAACCUAGUGAAUAAACCUUCUUGAGCCUUAAGGUAUAUGAUUUAACCCCCAAAAUAAAAAUCACUUAUUCAAUGAGGUUACUUGUUGUCCAAACCAACCAAUUGAGGUUAUUGACCCUUGCACUCAACAAAUUUCCUCCUUGGGGUAAAUCACUCACUUGUCCUUAUUUGUCCUUAUGACCUCUCUUGGGCCUUAUGCACUAGUUGGGGUCUUUUCUAGGUUGAGGAGCCUCUCUUGGGUCCCCAAACUUCCCUAAUCCAUUAGGGCACACUUGUCAUGACCAAGGGGUAAGUUAAAUUCAACAUGGGUAGUCAUAACUGCAACAUUGACUAAAACAACCUAACUCGAUAGAAAGUUAGAUAUAUUUCCUGCCGAUUCACAUUGUAUACCAUCAAAGGUCUGUGAAUUGGUCAAGGUGGAAUGAGAAUGGGAGAAUCAAAGUGUUUCUAUAUUGACUUAUAUAUAUGAACUAUAUCCAUGGUAUAUGGACUCAUUUGGAAAAUGA